GAAGUGUUCUCUAGAUUCCAGUGAAAUGGACCAGUGACUCCGGGACACAACCAAAAUGAAAAAAAGGAUUUUUCCCUCAAAAAGUCCACAGUCCAGAGGAAAUAAAAACAGCAAAAGCUUGACAGACACGGAAUGGGACAUUAGUUAACAUCCAGUAAGAUCAAAUGAAAGGUAGAGAAACUAGGAACAAGAGAUCAACUAAGGGCAUCAUCCAGUACAGAUAAGAGACUGAGAAUCUGAGCUAACAAAGUCAUAGUGAAGAUGGAGAAGAGGAAAGGAUGUGAGAAAGAUAUUCAGAAUGGAGAACUGGCAAGUCCUUGGAUCCUGUCUUGCCAGAUGCAUGAGUUUACUCACUCAACCAGGAGUUCUGAGCAGAAGCAAGGGCCAGAGAAUGUGCAGCCUUACAAGUCCUGGGAGGGAGUUUCAGCAUCUCCAUGCCAACCUGGAAACUGUUGAAUGACAAAAUUCUGUCGAGUGUAUAUGAGUCAUGGAAUUCUAAGACGAAUAGGAGCCUUGGGAAUCACCUGCCUAAGUUUUACUUUGAAG